rnacentral:rRNA from 1 species
GAUGAACGCUGGCGGCGUGCCUAAUACAUGCAAGUCGAGCGAACGGACGAGAAGCUUGCUUCUCUGAUGUUAGCGGCGGACGGGUGAGUAACACGUGGAUAACCUACCUAUAAGACUGGGAUAACUUCGGGAAACCGGAGCUAAUACCGGAUAAUAUUUUGAACCGCAUGGUUCAAAAGUGAAAGACGUUCUUGCUGUCACUUAUAGAUGGAUCCGCGCUGCAUUAGCUAGUUGGUAAGGUAACGGCUUACCAAGGCAACGAUGCGUAGCCGACCUGAGAGGGUGAUCAGCCACACUGGAACUGAGACACGGUCCAGACUCCUACGGGAGGCAGCAGUAGGGAAUCUUCCGCAAUGGGCGAAAGCCUGACGGAGCAACGCCGCGUGAGUGAUGAAGGUCUUCGGAUCGUAAAACUCUGUUAUUAGGGAAGAACAUAUGUGUAAGUAACUGUGCACAUCUUGACGGUACCUAAUCAGAAAGCCACGGCUAACUACGUG